rnacentral:rRNA from 1 species
GACGAACGCUGGCGGCGUGCCUAAUACAUGCAAGUAGAACGCAGUUGCGAACGGGUGAGUAACGCGUAGGUAACUGCCCCAUAGCGGGGGAUAACUAUUGGAAAAGAUAGCUAAUAACGGAUACUGUGAGAUGGACCUGCGUUGUAUUAGCUAGGUGGUGAGGUAAAGGCUCACCAAGGCGACGAUCCAUAGCCGAGCUGGGAGGGUGGACGGCCAAACUGGGAAUGGGACACGGGCCAGAAUUCUACGGGGGGGAGCAGGAGGGAAACAUCGGAAAUGGAGGGAAGUCUGGCCGAGCAAAGCCGCGUGAGUGAAGAAGGGUUUCGGAGCGGAAAGCUCUGUUGUUAGGGGAGCGGUACCUAACCAGAAAGGGACGGCUAACUACGUGCCAGCAGCCGCGGUAAUAC